rnacentral:rRNA from 1 species
CCUACGGUGGGCUGCAGUGAGGAAUAUUGGUCAAUGGACGAGAGUCUGAACCAGCCAAGUAGCGUGAAGGAUGACUGCCCUAGGGGUUGUAAACUUCGUUUAUAUGGGAGUAAAAUGUUCCACGUGUGGGAUUUUGUAUGUACCAUAUGAAUAAGGAACGGCUAACUCCGUGCCAGCAGCCGCGGUAAUCCGGAGGAACCGGGCGUUAUCCGGAUUUAUUGGGGUUAAAGGGAGCGUAGGUGGAUUGUUAAGUCAGUUGUGAAAGUUUGCGGCUCAACCGUAAAAUUGCAGUUGAAACUGGCAGUCUUGAGUACAGGAGAGGUGGGCGGAAUUCGUGGUGUAGCGGUGAAAUGCUUAGAUAUCACGAAGAACUCCGAUUGCGAAGGCAGUUCACUGGACUGCAACUGACACUGAGGCUCGAAAGUGUGGGUAGCAAACAGGAUUAGAUACCCUAGUAGUC